rnacentral:misc_RNA from 1 species
GGAUGAAGAACGUAGCGAAAUGCGAUAAGUAGUGUGAAUUGCAGAAUUCAGUGAAUCAUCGAAUCUUUGAACGCACAUUGCGCCCGCUAGUAUUCUGGCGGGCAUGCCUGUCCGAGCGUCAUUUCAACCCUCAAGCCCCCGGGCUUGGUGUUGGGGAUCGGCGAGCCUCCGCGCCCGCCGUCCCCUAAAUCUAGUGGCGGUCUCGCUGUAGCUUCCUCUGCGUAGUAGCACACCUCGCACUGGGAAACAGCGCGGCCACGCCGUUAAACCCCCAACUUCUGAACGUUUGACCUCGGAUCAGGUAGGAAUACCCGCUGAACUUAAGCAUAUCAAUAAGCGGAGGA